GAGAAGACAGUGAUAAAAAAGAACAGAGAGAGACAGAUAGGAGGAGAUAGAGCAAAAUUGGGGAAAACACAGAUCUGAAGAAAAAAAGCCACACCUCCGUUUUUCUAUUUCAUCUUUUUCCUAAAAUCCUUCAUUAAACCACCCUCAAACACCCCAAAGAGCCCAUUUUUUUGCCAUGAAAGUGCAACCAUGAAACCUUCAUUAAGCCACUCUUAAACUCCAUCAAACAACUCCAAAAUCACUCCAAAACACCAUUGUUUACAGCUGAAAAAUGCAACAAAAUGACCAUUGAAGGAAGCUCCAAAAGCUCACCAAAAGUCAGCAAUAAAGCCACCACAAACACCUCCCAAACCCAGCUCGAAAAUAGCCCCCAAAAGCCUCAAAUUUCAGCCAAAAACUGACCCCAAAAGCACAACAAAGGUAGUUUCAAUUUUCUCCAUUAAUCACGUUGAAGCUCUGUCACCCGAGGUCGCCGGCGAGUUUACCAUGCCUGGUUUGGUUUGUUCGAAUUCUCUCAUUGAGUUUACAUGUUUGUAUUCAAUAAAUCGUCAUGUAUAUAAAAGUUAUUAGGCGGCAAAAAAAAUCCAAAGUGGGAGAUAUAGUUGGGAGCAAAACGGAGUGGCUUCACUGUUCAAGGUAAUAUGAACACCUCACUGUUCUUUGGCUUUUCAGAUGUGCUGUAUACAUAGAUAUUUGUUCAAUAAGCAAUUUGUCCAUGGAUUUAAUGUUUUACUUUGUAUCUUUCUUUGUGUUUUCGUGGAUUGUUAAUUCUGGUAGGUGGGGUCUGCGUCCAUUGAUUUAAUGUUUUACUUUGUAUCUUUCUUUGUAGCUUGCUUUAGACGCGAUUAAUAAAUUAUCGUGGUCAUGGGUACGGUUCUCAUGGCAUGGUCACGAUCCAUAAAUCUAAAUUCAGGUAUGCAUUUCAUAUGAUCCGACCAUAACUUCGAAUAUUAAUAAUAAAAUAAAUAUGUUGUAAAUCGCGGGUGUAUUUCAUGUGACGCGGUUUGCAAUGUGUACGACAAUCAUGAUUUGUUCCAUAAACACUAAAAGCGAUUUGGAAGUUAAAAACGCACGUAGGUUUAAAAUGUGUAAUUAAUCAGAUAAUUAGGCCAAUUAUUAAUAGUUAAGCGACCGUACUAAAAUCACGAAAUUCGGGAAUGUCUAACACCUUCUUCCGGGUUAACAGAAUCCUUACCCGGAUCUCUGUGUUCGUAGACCAUAAAUAGAUUCAAUCUUCCUUGAUUGGGGAUUUUAAAUCGGUGACUUAGGACACCAUAAAUUAUCCCAAGUGACGACUCUGAAUUUUAAAUAAAAUAAUCUCGUUUCGAUUGUCACUUAAAUUGGACAAAACUCCCUUAUACCCCUCCGGGGAUAGUAAAAAAGAGGUAUGACAAAGUAUUUUUUUUAAAGUUAAGGUGUUUGGCCAAGCUCUUAUAAGGAAAAAAAGUGCUUUUGAGCAGAAGCAGUUUUUUAGAAGAGAAAAAAGUAGCCAAAAGUACUUUUGAGAAAAAUACACUUAAAAGCACUUUUUAAAAGCUUGGCCAAAAUAUAUUAUUGUUCAAAAGUGUUUUUCAAAUUAAUUAUCCAAACACAAACUGCUUCUCACCAAAAGUACUUUUUUUAAAACGCACUUUUCAAAAUAAGUUGAUUUUAGAAGCUUGGCCAAAUAGGCUAUAGGAGAUCCAUCUUAUAAUAACAGGGUUUAUGCAUUUGAUGCCAUUUUUUAACCAUGCAAUAAUCUUUUGUUAUUUUCUCUUAUUUGUUUCCAGGGACAGACCAACGUGGGGCCAAGUGGGUCAUCUGAACCUGUUGUUUACCCGUAAAACAGUAUGGCUAAAUUUUAUAAUAUGGUUUAUAGACAAGCGAAUCAAUUUAAUCCCAAAAUAAUAAAUAAAUUAAAUAAAAUGCAAGACUUAGCGUUGAAAUUGAGAUAAGACAACAAACAGCUUGGUUCCCGGAUCAAGGCUUCUGUAGACAACAAUAAGAAUAUUAAUAGACAGAAAAUAAAGUAUUAUUGAGCUUAGAAUAAUAUGUAGCAUAAGUUUGUCAGAAAUUUCGUGUCUUACAAUGGCUGUUGAACUCACUAUUUAUAGCUAUACCUAGGGAACAAGGUCCUAUGAUCAAGCCCCUCUUAAAUGACAAUUAUGGGGGCCAUUGAUGAAGGUGUAAUGGCAGGCUAUGAAUGACAAGAUUCUUUGUAACGGAUUGUGUAUUUAAUAUUGAGAAAUAUUCUUCACUGAAUGUCAUCGGGUGACAAAUAUUCAUUUGUCCUCAUUAGCAAUAUUCCUUUCGGAGUCUACCCAGUGUCAACCGAAGCUACUGUCCAUGGUCUUGGUUUCCACUUGCCUCGUUUUUUGUCUGUCUCUGGCUCCACGUGUCGCCCUAUUAUUCGAGUAUUUAAUAUGAACCAAUUUUACCCUAAACAGAUAGUCCCCCUACUUUCCGGUGGCACAUCUUUGUGUCAUUGGGAAGUUGGUGAAGAUACCUCUCUUGGCGGGAAAUUUUUUGAUCCCUUUUGAAAAGUUUCUGACACUCGAUUAGAUGCACGUCUCUCCGCAUUUGAUGCCCCGAACACUCGUCACUCCACGAUUUUGCAAUAUUUUAACUGGUCUCUAGUUAAUCAUGG
rnacentral:lncRNA from 1 species